rnacentral:rRNA from 1 species
ACACGUCUACAUUAGAUACCCCCGUAGUCCCAGCCGUAAACUAUGCGCGUUAGGUGUAUCGGUGACCACGAGUCACCGAGGUGCCGAAGGGAAACCGUGAAACGUGCCGCCUGGGAAGUACGGUCGCAAGGCUGAAACUUAAAGGAAUCGGCGGGGAGCACCACAACGGGUGGAGCCUGCGGUUUAAUUGGACUCAACGCCGGGAAGCUCACCGGAUAAGACAGCGGAAUGAUUGCCGGGCUGAAGACUCUGCAUGACUAGCUG